rnacentral:rRNA from 1 species
UCGGGAAUUUUGGGCAAUGGGCGAAAGCCUGGCCCAGCAACGCCGCGUGAAGGAUGAAGUAUUUCGGUAUGUAAACUUCGAAAGAAUAGGAAGAAUAAAUGACGGUACUAUUUAUAAGGUCCGGCUAACUACGUGCCAGCAGCCGCGGUAAUACGUAGGGACCAAGCGUUGUUCGGAUUUACUGGGCGUAAAGGGCGCGUAGGCGGCAAUUCAAGUCAUCUGUGAAAUCUCCGGGCCUAACUCGGAACGGUCAGAUGAUACUGCUUUGCUAGAGUGCAGAAGGGGCAAUCGGAAUUCUUGGUGUAGCGGUGAAAUGCGUAGAUAUCUGGAGGAACACCGGUGGCGAAGGCGACAUCCUGGACCAAUUCUGACGCUGAGGAGCGAAAGCCAGGGGAGCAAACGGGAUUAGAUACCCCUGUAGUCCCUGAGCGGGCUGGCAAGGCGCAU